rnacentral:tRNA from 1 species
AUUUAUAUAGUUUAGUAAAAACAUUACAUUUUCAUUGUAAAAUCAAAACAUAAUUUUUAUAAAUA